rnacentral:snRNA from 1 species
AGAAAAAUUGCUUGAACCCAGUAGGCAGAGUUGCAGUGAGCUGAGAUCGCACCACUGCACUCCAGCAUGGGUGACAGAA